rnacentral:lncRNA from 1 species
AGGGUUUCCAUGAAGCUACUGGAGUCUGAUCACAUUUCAAUCACCAAAACCUUCCGAUUAUGCAGCCGAAGCGUAGUCAUAGUCACCAUCAUCAUCAUCAUCAUCAUCAUCAUCAUCAUCAUCAUCAUCUCCAUCCCCAUCUUCAGCUUUUAAUAGCUGCAUAUUAUGCAAAUGACUAUAAAGAACACUGCUAUCUCCAUGAAGACCGUGGAGCAGUUUGUACUUGAAGCCAAUAAUCUCUAAUAAAGAAUUAUUAUGCAAUUAUAAUUCUAUCAAAAUUAAGGCAAAAGGAAAAUUUGGACACCCUUCUUUGGGAAGAAAAUUAAAGGUGUAUGUAUAGAGAGUAAAGGGGAGGUGUAAAGUUAUAUAUAGAGGGGCUUUGCUGUAAUGCAGCAGCCAUUAAAGGCUGACUCGUGGAGAAGGUGUGCUAAAGUGGCUUAGAAGUGUGCAUUCAACGUGGAAAUAUGUGUCAUAUUGGUGUCUAGUUGCCAGGUUCUUGUGAACACGUGCAUUCUAGUGCAACACAUUCGAUUCUUAUGACAUGUACUUCGAAUUUCGAGUCAAACAAGAUUAAGUCCCUGUUUAAAUGAGAUUUUUUUUAGAAUAGAUUUUAUGAAAAGUGAGUUUGUUUUAGAAACGUGAUUAUGAAAUAUGAAAAAGUUACAAAUCCACUACAAAAAUACUUUAUGAGUAGAUUUUGUGGUUUAAAAUGAGUUUUAAAAAAUUUGGGUCAAAUCGUAAUUAAUGUGCAUAACUUGAAUCUUAUUUUACAUCCAAUCUUCAGCCUGAAUUUUUCUUUUUGGGGCUCUAUCACUUUUGGUACUGUCCAAAAAAGCUUGCUUGCUUCAUAUCUAUUAAUAAUUGAACAUGCUAUGUCUAUUAGAUGUUGAAUUGAAGAGUAAUUAGUUUGAGCAUUAGAUAUUGUUGACGAUAAAAAUACUAAUUGAUCAAAAUAGGCAAAUUAGGCAAGCAUAUCUAAGACCUGAAUGUCACAUAUUGUUUUACAUUUUAAUAUUAAAAAAUAUAUAAUUUAUUAUUUUAGGGAUAUGAAAGGUUGGGGAGUUACAUUUUAUUAUAUUAUCUUGGAGUUGAGGUCGUUAAGUAGAAUUAUGGUGAUUAUGUUUUUCAUGUGUAUGGUUUGAAGGAGUUUAUGGGUUAUAACUUAUAAGGGGUUAUGGGAUUUAAUUUUUAUAUAAUCCUAUUGCAGUAAAACCUCAAUAAUAUUCGAUAUCCUGUAGAUUAAUGACAUCAAUUUAAAUAAUAAUUUUGGCUGGUCCCGAAUUGGGAAUAAUUUGUCAAAUUAAUAAUUUGCAAAAUUUAUAGGAUAAUAGAUUAUAAAAAAUUCAUAUAUAUCUGAUAUAAUAAAUAAAUGAAUACUUUCCUAGAAUAUAAUGCUUUUGAUUCGACUAUUAUAAGACCUUCCUAUAAUAUUACUCAAUUAUUGUUGAUUUCUUUAUACUUUUGAGAUGAGAAGUCAUUGUUGUAUAUAUGAUAUAUUUAGUGUUAUCAUUGUUUUUGUUUAUUUAAAUAGAGGUUUUGCUUGAUUAAAUUUCAUGAAAAGGGAAAAUGUAGUAUCAAUGUAGAAUCUACUUUUGGAAAAAAUAAAUAGAUUCAUAAAUAUUACUUGGUUAAAAAUACAUGAAAUUUUUAGAGCAUCUUCAAUGAUGGUUUACAAUUGAGUGUAAAUUGAUGUCUCUAAAAUUACUUUUGCAUUAUCAUUUACAUCCCAAUGGAUUAAAAUCCAAAUUUUGCUCCAGGAAAAAGAUGUAAAUAUACAUUUUAUUUUUAUUUUUUACCUCUUGUGGAUAUUAAAAAGAUGUAAAUAUACAUUUUUUUUUGUCUGCCAAAAAAUGCAAUUAGCAUUCUUUUGCAUAUCUCCAUUAGAGAGGUUUUCUACCACUCUGGACAUCUAAAUCACCAUUUAAAUCUAUUUUAUAAUACCAUUAGAGAUGCAUACAAUAUAUUUUAAGUAAAUAUGGAAAGUCUUGAUAAAUUAAUAAGUUAUUAAUUAAUUUAUAGAUUACUUAAUAUUCGCUAAAUUGAUAGAUUUUUUUCUUGGUCACAACACUAUUAAUUAAUUUCUAGAUGUUUAAUGGUAUCUUUCUUGCACCUAUAUAUAACAUUUAUAUUCUACUAAUUUUCUUACACAUAUGAUAUAAUUAACUUCAUAUUAUUUUUCUGAAAUAGUUGAAAUAUGUGGAUCAAAAGAAAAUUGAUAUUUUUGUAGAGCUUUGAGUUCAUCCUCCACAGCAAGAAGGAUUGAAUUUAACAUAGUUUUAGUUGGGCUAUUGCAUACCGAAGGGACAAGUCAAGAGGAUAAAUCUUGCACUGAGAACUGUCAACAUUGUGGAGAACUUAAAUUUCCUUAAAGAUAGUGAAAUACUCACUCCUCAACAGUAUUGAUUGUUGUAUCACUAAAAUUUCGAUAUUUCAUUCGGAAUUUUUUUUAACAGAGAUACAACUCAACAAAUAAUCCAGUCGGGACAAUAUGUCUAAAUUCAAUAUAUGCAUACCCUAUAUUAAGUAAGAAAUUAAAUAAUAUGUUUGUACAGUUUGACUAUAGCUAACAAAUGUAUCUCGGAUUCUGUUUUCUAGCAAGUUUUCACACUAUCUCACUCAAAAGUAAUUGAGUAAUUAACACUAAUGCUGAUUGAACAGGGUCAUUGACGGCGGCUCCCCAGCCCCUCUCAAAAUUCCUGUCAAGAGCUCCUGUUUGAGUAGCAGAGCUCAAUAAUUAAUCAGUUAAAAAACACGCACGUGUUCUAAUUCUCUUAACUAAUUAUUUUCUGCAAAACUACAGGCUACAAGCCUGCUCGUGAUGUAAUAAUUAACACUUCAUCAAGUUACACAUCUUAUGCUGUCUUGAGAUUCUUGAGUGCUGCUGACUACCUCGUGUAUGCAUAUGCAUACGCCCAUCUGCCACCAUCGAUCGACUGCCUCUCUUUUGGAUAUUUUCUACACUAGUUAUAUAUCUUCUUCAAGAACAAAAUCAACGGUUGGCUAUCAAAUCACUGAAACUGGAUUCGGAUAUGGAUAGAUACUCGCGAACAGACCGUAAUACGCUCUUGGUUUUUGUAUGGGACAUAUUAGCGUCUGCAAUGCAUGUACGGUCUUCUUUUCGCUCUAUCUGAAUUAGUUUUCGACAAGUUAGCGGGAUGGAGAUUAUUCCAUGUAGUUCUUGAGGAGCAAGUAAUGGUUUCGCUAUUUGCAUUCAUCUUCACUAUAAUUGGCGUCGUCAAUGACACCCAAUGGAUGGCGACUGAGGCAAGAACAUUUUAAGGUGGUCGAAGUUCAUUACUCUCAGUUCUCAGUUGGGGAGUCGUUAUUUUCCAGCUGGGGUAUUAUGGAGGCAAAAACCUAUAAUUAAUUACUUCUUAUUUGAAAAUUCUUGAGGCAAAUCAAAUGCUACAUAAACAUAUUGAUUUGUUCAUCCAUCAAACUUGUAGAUUAUGCAUAUCGGGUUAGGUUUUCGUUGUUUAAAAGCAAGAAAAAGCAGAAGGGAAAGGAAAUGCAAAUAAGAAAAAGAGACGCUCGGAAACUUAUUUAUGUAAUCCUCUAAUAUAUUAAAAUAGCACUACAAGUACAUUAGACUACAAAUUCAUAAACUACCUUACUGACAUCAUUUAUAUAUAAUAACACAGAACUAGGGUUUUUUCUGACCAAAACUAGGGUUUAGAUGAAACCACCUAAGAUUUUAUUUAGGCGACUGGGAUCAGACCAUUUUUUCCAUCACCAAAACCUUCCGAUUAUGCAGCCGGAGCGUAGUCAUAGUCACCAUCAUCAUCAUCAUCGUCAUCGUCAUCGUCAUCGUCAUCAUCAUCUCCAUUGAUGAGUUUGUUUCACUCAUGAUUUUCGCACAAUUUUAGUUUGAUUAAAUGCUAGAUUUUAUGAGUAUAGAACGUUUUUGAUGUGUUUGUUAGUGUUGUUUUGAAGAUAAGGAGAAGCGAUGUGAAAAGAAGUAUUAAAGUGGACGAAGAGGCUAAAAACACGAAAUUGGGGCAGAAAGACGGCGCUUAGACGCUGCACUCAUAGCGCCUAGGCGCUACGAAACGAAAAAAAGAUGAAAUUUGGACCUAAGAGGUAGCGCCACAACCAAAGCGCCUAAGAGCUACCAGCGUAGCGCCUAGGCGCUGAAGAGACAGCCCCCAGGCUCUAUAGCUAGCGCUUAAGCGCUGUCUUAUAGCGCCUAGGAGUUGCGAUUGACGAUUUAGGGCGCGUUUUUGGGCCGUUUUUAAAUUCAUAAAAACCCUACUUCUACAUAAAAACGGAGGGGCACCUAUAAAUACAUCUUCCUCAUACUUUUGAAAGGUUCUUGACAUAUUGGAGAGAAAACAACAAGAAGGGAGAUUCAAAGGAGAAAUUCAAGAAGAUUAACACCAAGAAUUGAAGAUUGGAAGCAUUCAUUGGAAGAAGAAGGAGAUCUUGGUGUAAGAAUUUCACUUUUUCUUCUACAUCUUUAUUUCAAACUCGGUGAUGUAUUCUAAGACAAAUUCCUUCUUUUCUUCUUGUAUUAUGAGUAACUAAAUUCAUUGUUAGGGGGAAUAAUGUAACCAAUUGGGAUCUUUUGCAUUUUCUUAUUAAGACUUUCAGUUUUUAAUUCUUCCAUGCGUUGAUUUUGCUAUGAGUUGAAUGCAUUAAAUUACCUGAUCAAUAAUUUGAUGAUUUUUGUGAAUUCUUUACAAAUAGAGAUAUGAGUAUAGAAUUUAGACCAUGUAGAAAAUCCAAUACAUUGGUAUAACGAGUAGAGAUACCUAUACCAUUUAUUGCGGUCAUAAUUGAAUUCCUAAAACAUAGAACUCGUUUAACUAAGUUGAAUUUGCAUAGAGAUAUGAAAUUUAAUUAGUUAAAUAGGCUCAAUGAGAACUCGAGAGGGGUAAAUUGAAUACAAUAGAAGAAUUCGACCGAGUACUACAUUAGAAUUGAGUUUUAAUUUGAGAUGUAAAUGUGAUCAAUUGGUGAAGUUGUUCUACCCUAACAUCCAUUCAUUAUUUGAUUCUCCAACAAAUUGUGUGAACAUUCAUUUAUUUUCUAAAAUUUAGAUUAAAGCCUAGAUAUUAUAACCUUUGAUUUAUAUUCGUCAAAUAGUAGUUAAAGAAACAUUAAAUUAAGCGCUAGAAAAUAGUCCUUGUGGAAUCAAUAACCUGACUCUUAGGUCCACUAUUACUUAUUACGGGUCGUACACUUGCGAAACAAAAUUAUACAACAAGUUUUUGUCUCCAUCCCCAUCGUCAGUUUUUAAUAUUGGCAUAUUAUGAAGAUGACUAUGAAGAAUACUGCUAUCUCCAUGAAGAUCGUGGAGCAACUUGUACUUGAAGCUAAUAAUCUCUAAGAAAGAAAUCAUUUUCGCUUCUAACAAAAUUGAGGCAAAGGGAAUAUUUAGACACGCUGUAAUGGGAAGAAAAUUAAAG